AAUCAACGCUGGCGGCGUGCCUAACACAUGCAAGUCGAACGCGAAAGCCCGCAAGGGCAAGUAGAGUGGCGCACGGGUGAGUAACACGUGGACAACCUGCCUCCGAGUGGGGAAUAACCUUCCGAAAGGAGGGCUAACACCGCAUAACACCUCGGGACACAAGUUCUGAGGUUGAAAAGAGCAAUUUGCUCGAAGAGGGGUCCGCGCCUGAUUAGCUAGUUGGUGAGGUAACGGCUCACCAAGGCUUCGAUCAGUAGCCGUCCUGAGAGGGAGCACGGCCACACUGGAACUGAGACACGGUCCAGACUCCUACGGGAGGCAGCAGUGGGGAAUUUUUGGCAAUGGGCGAAAGCCUGACCAAGCAACGCCGCGUGGGUGAUGAAGUAUCUUGGUACGUAAAACCCUUUCGGCAGGGACGAACCUAAUGACGGUACCUGCGGAAGAAGCCCCGGCUAACUCCGUGCCAGCCGCCGCCGU
rnacentral:rRNA from 1 species